rnacentral:rRNA from 1 species
UGGGGGAAACCCUGAUGCAGCAACGCCGCGUGAAGGAUGAAGGUCUUCGGAUUGUAAACUUCUUUGAUGAGGGACGAAAAAAAUGACGGUACCUCAAAAACAAGCCACGGCUAACUACGUGCCAGCAGCCGCGGUAAUACGUAGGUGGCAAGCGUUGUCCGGAAUUAUUGGGCGUAAAGGGCGCGUAGGCGGUUCCUUAAGUCAGAUGUGAAAUCCCGGGGCUUAACUUCGGGCGUGCAUUUGAAACUGGGGAACUAGAGUGCAGGAGAGGUAAGUGGAAUUCCUAGUGUAGCGGUGAAAUGCGUAGAUAUUAGGAGGAACACCAGUGGCGAAGGCGACUUACUGGACUGUAACUGACGCUGAGGCGCGAAAGCGUGGGGAGCAAACAGGAUUAGAUACCCUGGUAGUCCACGCUGUAAACGAUGGAUACUAGGUGUGGGAGGUAUCGACCCCUUCCGUGCCGCAGUAAACGCAAUAAGUAUCCCGCCUGGGGAGUA